ACGGGAGGCAGCAGUGGGGAAUAUUGCACAAUGGGCGCAAGCCUGAUGCAGCAACGCCGCGUGAGGGAAGACGGUUUUCGGAUUGUAAACCUCUGUCUUUGGUGACGAAGAAGUGACGGUAGCCAAGGAGGAAGCCACGGCUAACUACGUGCCAGCAGCCGCGGUAAUACGUAGGUGGCAAGCGUUAUCCGGAUUUAUUGGGUUUAAAGGGUGCGCAGGCGGCACGUUAAGUCAGCGGUGAAAUGUCGGGGCUCAACCCGGGCACUGCCGUUGAAACUGGCGAGCUUGAGUACGGAUGAAGUCGGCGGAAUGUGAUGUGUAGCGGUGAAAUGCUUAGAUAUGUCACAGAACACCGAUUGCGAAGGCAGCUGACUAAUCCGCAACUGACGCUCAGGCACGAAAGCGUGGGGAUCGAACAGGAUUAGAUACCCUGGUA
rnacentral:rRNA from 1 species